rnacentral:sRNA from 1 species
CUAAGGUUCGACUCGAGCGCAGCGAGAGAACGUUGCCGCAGGCAACGGCCCGAAGGGCGAGGCGCUUUAGCGCCGAGUAAUCCUUCCCCCACCACCA